UCCUGCUGGCUCCAGCUUGGGAACAGCCAAAACCCCAGACGGUGGGAGCUGGAGAUGCUGAGAUUCAGGCAGACACCCGGAUACCUGUAGACGCCCUGUGGAGGCUGGAGUCACUGCGGGUAGUGCAGCCAGAGGAACCCGGAGACCGUGAAGAUGUCCAGGCCACAGCAUCAGGGGAUAUGGUAGAAAGAAGUCCAGGAAAACUAGGCAGUGGACCGAUUAAGCUCCUUGGGAAGAAGGCAUUGGCAUUGGCUGAGAUUCCUGAAAGAGGAGUUUGCCUGCAUGCUGUUAAUCACUGAUAGUCAAGUCUAAGUGCUUAGACCUGCUGUGGGACAAUGUUUCUGUGGAAGAGUCUGCGCAGCCUGCACUAGCAGUGAGCUUCCCCCACUGAGAGCUGAGACCACUGAGAGCUGAGUGGAACCUCAAGAGACCAACUUGCAGAGGUCACAGUGGCAGAUGCAGAAGUUGACGGCGCAGGGCCAAGGGCAAUGAAGCGGUGGAGUGAACGAUGGCACGACGAACAACAGUGGCCAAAGCGAGCAACCAGUGGCUGGAAGAACAAGCAAGGUGUCUUCUGCCCUCCCCCCGCAAUUGGAGGUGAACUCACGUGAAAGCACCCCUUAACUCUGGGUCUCCACUGACCAAGGACCACAACGCAGAUCAAAGUGAAAAUGAAAAGACAAAAAACAAUGCAACCGUUUUUCCACUCUAAGGCCUCAAAAAUCAACCAAGAUGAAGAACACACUAAGAACAAAGAAUAUACCAACAUGUCAUCUGAAGGCUCACAUGGUAUAUUAACAUCUGAACAGCCUGAAGCACAAAUACAGCUACCUACUUAAGAAACAGCGUCUCCAAAACCUAAAGGCAGUUCCCAGUGUUUGUCAAUCAAAGUUUCCCAUUUACUGAAGUUACAAAAGAUGGUUACUGGUGCACUUCUUGCAAAACUCUUCCAAAGAAGGAAAGCUUCCCAAAGCUACAACUGGUAAAAGUGGUCAGGAGCUUGGUUUGCCAGACCGAUCAUCAAAGCCAAUACUGACAAACUACAUGAAAAGGCUGAAAAACACCAAGCCCCUAAGAAAGCCUUAUAAGCCAAUCACUGUCAAAGCCAAUUUCAGUAGUACCCAAUGAGGCUGUUAAGAAUGCUGGAUACACAACACAGUUUAUUCGAACAAACAUGGCUGUUGCUUCAUACUUUCUUUUUAAGCAAGAGAUACCCCAUACUACACACUGGAGGCCAAUGUUAAGUGCAUUGUCACUUGUUAGGCCUUGGCUACACUUGCGAGUUACAGCGCUGUAAAGCCGCCCACAGCGCUGUACCUCACUGACCGGCUACACUGGCAAGGCAUAUACAGCGCUGUAUCUCCCUGGGUACACCACUGCAGGUACUCCACCUCCCCGAGAAGUAUAAGAGAUACAGGGGAGUGGCUACGACUCCCCCCUGUGAGUGUGUACCAGGAAUCAACCUGCAGCGCUGUACUGAUCACCUUGUCAAGUGGCCAAUCCUCUCCAUUGUUGUGACCCGCCGCAGGAAUGCGGAAGUGCCGGUUUCAAAUCUCGUACCACAGAGAAAAAGCAAACAGUUUGCUGUUUGCUUUGAGUGAGUGAAUGAAUGAGCAGGGGGCCGGGAGUUUGGAACUUGCAAAAUAGAGUGCUGACACUCCAAAAAGCACUCUCUUCCCUCACACUCCCUAGCACACUCCACCUCCCCC